rnacentral:misc_RNA from 1 species
GUAGGAGCCGGCUUGCUGGCGAUGAACGAUUACGCGGUUUCCCUGGCAAACCGCGGCGCCUGGAUCGCCAGCAAGCCGGCUCCUAC